rnacentral:rRNA from 1 species
GCUUACACAUGCAAGUCGAACGAGAGAAGAGGAGCUUGCUUUUCUGAUCUAGUGGCGGACGGGUGAGUAACACGUGAGCAAUCUGCCUUUCAGAGGGGGAUACCGAUUGGAAACGAUCGUUAAUACCGCAUAACAUAAUUGAACCGCAUGAUUUGAUUAUCAAAGAUUUAUCGCUGAAAGAUGAGCUCGCGUCUGAUUAGCUAGUUGGUAAGGUAACGGCUUACCAAGGCGACGAUCAGUAGCCGGACUGAGAGGUUGAUCGGCCACAUUGGGACUGAGACACGGCCCAGACUCCUACGGGAGGCAGCAGUGGGGAAUAUUGCACAAUGGAGGAAACUCUGAUGCAGCGAUGCCGCGUGAGGGAAGAAGGUUUUAGGAUUGUAAACCUCUGUCUUCGGGGACGAAAAAAGACGGUACCUGAGGAGGAAGCUCCGGCUAACUACGUGCCAGCAGCCGCGGUAAUACGUAGGGAGCGAGCGUUGUCCGGAAUUACUGGGUGUAAAGGGAGCGUAGGCGGGAUCGCAAGUCAGAUGUGAAAACUAUGGGCUUAACCCAUAAACUGCAUUUGAAACUGUGGUUCUUGAGUGAAGUAGAGGUAAGCGGAAUUCCUAGUGUAGCGGUGAAAUGCGUAGAUAUUAGGAGGAACAUCAGUGGCGAAGGCGGCUUACUGGGCUUUAACUGACGCUGAGGCUCGAAAGCGUGGGGAGCAAACAGGAUUAGAUACCCUGGUAGUCCACGCCGUAAACGAUGAUUACUAGGUGUGGGGGGACUGACCCCUUCCGUGCCGCAGCAAACGCAAUAAGUAAUCCACCUGGGGAGUACGACCGCAAGGUUGAAACUCAAAGGAAUUGACGGGGGCCCGCACAAGCAGUGGAGUAUGUGGAUUAAUUCGAAGCAACGCGAAGAACCUUACCAGGUCUUGACAUCGUAUGCAUAGCUCAGAGAUGAGUGAAAUCUCUUCGGAGACAUAUAGACAGGUGGUGCAUGGUUGUCGUCAGCUCGUGUCGUGAGAUGUUGGGUUAAGUCCCGCAACGAGCGCAACCCUUACUGUUAGUUGCUACGCAAGAGCACUCUAGCAGGACUGCCGUUGACAAAACGGAGGAAGGUGGGGAUGACGUCAAAUCAUCAUGCCCCUUAUGACCUGGGCCUCACACGUACUACAAUGGCUGUCAACAGAGGGAAGCAAAGCCGCGAGGUGGAGCGAACCCCUAAAAGCAGUCUUAGUUCGGAUUGUAGGCUGCAACCCGCCUACAUGAAGUCGGAAUUGCUAGUAAUCGCAGAUCAGCAUGCUGCGGUGAAUACGUUCCCGGGCCUUGUACACACCGCCCGUCACGCCAUGGGAGUCGGUAACACCCGAAGCCUGUAGUCUAACCGCAAGGAGGACGCAGUCGAAG